AGAGUUUGAUCCUGGCUCAGGACGAACGCUGGCGGCGUGCUUAACACAUGCAAGUCGAACGGUGAACCCCUUCGGGGGGGAUCAGUGGCGAACGGGUGAGUAACACGUGAGCAACCUGCCCCUGGCUCUGGGACAACCACUGGAAACGGUGGCUAAUACCGGAUACGACCCGCCUCGGCAUCGAGUGUGGGUGGAAAGUUUUUCGGCUGGGGAUGGGCUCGCGGCCUAUCAGCUUGUUGGUGGGGUGAUGGCCCACCAAGGCGACGACGGGUAGCCGGCCUGAGAGGGCGACCGGCCACACUGGGACUGAGACACGGCCCAGACUCCUACGGGAGGCAGCAGUGGGGAAUAUUGCACAAUGGGCGAAAGCCUGAUGCAGCGACGCCGCGUGAGGGAUGACGGCCUUCGGGUUGUAAACCUCUUUCAGCUCCGAAGAAGCGCAAGUGACGGUAGGAGCAGAAGAAGCACCGGCUAACUACGUGCCAGCAGCCGCGGUAAUACGUAGGGUGCAAGCGUUGUCCGGAAUUAUUGGGCGUAAAGAGCUCGUAGGCGGUGUGUCGCGUCUGCUGUGAAAACUCAGGGCUCAGCUCUGAGCUUGCAGUGGGUACGGGCACACUUUGAGUGCUGUAGGGGAGACUGGAAUUCCUGGGUGUAGCGGUGAAAUGCGCAGAUAUCAGGAGGAACACCGGUGGCGAAGGCGGGUCUCUGGGCAGUUACUGACGCUGAGGAGCGAAAGCAUGGGGAGCGAACAGGAUUAGAUACCCUAGUAGUCC
rnacentral:rRNA from 1 species